rnacentral:tRNA from 3 species
CGGGGCGUAGCUCAGUCUGGUUGGAGCGCUACGUUCGGGACGUAGAGGUCGCUGGUUCGAAUCCAGUCGCCCCGACCA